UACGUAGGGGGCAAGCGUUGUCCGGAUUUAUUGGGCGUAAAGAGCGUGUAGGCGGCUUGGUAAGUCCGCUGUGAAAGUCCAGGGCUCAACCCUGGAAUGCCGGUGGAAACUGUCAAGCUUGAGUCCGGAAGAGGCGAGUGGAAUUCCUGGUGUAGCGGUGAAAUGCGCAGAUAUCAGGAAGAACACCCGUGGCGAAAGCGGCUCUCUGGAACGGUACUGACGCUGAGACGCGAAAGCGUGGGGAGCGAACAGG
rnacentral:rRNA from 1 species